rnacentral:rRNA from 1 species
AAUCANUUGUCUUUUNNNUGAANACCUGUAUGAAUGGCACGACGAGGGCUUAACUNUCUCCUUUCUCCAGUCAAUGAAAUUGAUCUCCCCGUGCAGAAGCGGGGAUAAAGCCAUAAGACGAGAAGACCCUAUGGAGCUUUAGAUAUCAAAGCAGCUCGUGUUAAUCACCUCCAAAAAAGGAGUAAAACAAAACGAACCCUGUUUGAAUAUCUUUGGUUGGGGCGACCGCGGGGAAAUAAAUAACCCCCACGUGGACUGGGGGCACUUGCCCCUAAAACCAAGAACUACAGUUCUAGUUAACAGAAUUUCUGACCAUACAGAUCNNGCAAAGCCGAUCAACGAACCGAGUUACCCUAGGGAUAACAGCGCAAUCCCCUUCUAGAGC